UACGAAGGGGGCUAGCGUUGUUCGGAAUCACUGGGCGUAAAGCGCACGUAGGCGGAUCUUUAAGUCAGGGGUGAAAUCCCGAGGCUCAACUUCGGAACUGCCUUUGAUACUGGGGAUCUCGAGUCCGGGAGAGGUGAGUGGAACUGCGAGUGUAGAGGUGAAAUUCGUAGAUAUUCGCAAGAACACCAGUGGCGAAGGCGGCUCACUGGCCCGGAACUGACGCUGAGGUGCGAAAGCGUGGGGAGCAAACAGGG
rnacentral:rRNA from 1 species